rnacentral:rRNA from 1 species
GACGAACGCUGGCGGCGUGCUUAACACAUGCAAGUCGAACGGAAAGGCCCUGCUUUUGUGGGGUGCUCGAGUGGCGAACGGGUGAGUAACACGUGAGUAACCUGCCCUUGACUUUGGGAUAACUUCAGGAAACUGGGGCUAAUACCGGAUAGGAGCUCCUGCUGCAUGGUGGGGGUUGGAAAGUUUCGGCGGUUGGGGAUGGACUCGCGGCUUAUCAGCUUGUUGGUGGGGUAGUGGCUUACCAAGGCUUUGACGGGUAGCCGGCCUGAGAGGGUGACCGGCCACAUUGGGACUGAGAUACGGCCCAGACUCCUACGGGAGGCAGCAGUGGGGAAUAUUGCACAAUGGGCGGAAGCUUGAUGCAGCAACGCCGCGUGCGGGAUGACGGCCUUCGGGUUGUAAACCGCUUUCGCCUGUGACGAAGCGUGAGUGGCGGUAAUGGGUAAAGAAGCACCGGCUAACUACGUG